CACUCCUACGGGAGGCAGCAGUGGGGAAUUUUGGACAAUGGGCGAAAGCCUGAUCCAGCAAUGCCGCGUGUGUGAAGAAGGCCUUCGGGUUGUAAAGCACUUUUGUCCGGAAAGAAAUCCUUGGCUCUAAUACAGUCGGGGGAUGACGGUACCGGAAGAAUAAGCACCGGCUAACUACGUGCCAGCAGCCGCGGUAAUACGUAGGGUGCGAGCGUUAAUCGGAAUUACUGGGCGUAAAGCGUGCGCAGGCGGUUUGCUAAGACCGAUGUGAAAUCCCCGGGCUCAACCUGGGAACUGCAUUGGUGACUGGCAGGCUAGAGUAUGGGAGAGGGGGGUAGAAUUCCACGUGUAGCAGUGAAAUGCGUAGAGAUGUGGAGGAAUACCGAUGGCGAAGGCAGCCCCCUGGGCCAAUACUGACGCUCAUGCACGAAAGCGUGGGGAGCAAACAGGAUUAGAAACCCUGGUAGUCCCAUGA
rnacentral:rRNA from 1 species